UACGAAGGGUGCAAGCGUUACUCGGAAUCACUGGGCGUAAAGCGUGCGUAGGCGGUUUCUUAAGUCUGUCGUGAAAGCCCCGGGCUCAACCUGGGAAUUGCGAUGGAGACUGCAAGGCUUGAAUCUGGCAGAGGGGGGUAGAAUUCCACGUGUAGCAGUGAAAUGCGUAGAGAUGUGGAGGAACACCGAUGGCGAAGGCAGCCCCCUGGGUCAAGAUUGACGCUCAUGCACGAAAGCGUGGGGAGCAAGCAGG
rnacentral:rRNA from 1 species